GAAAUGCGAUAAGUAAUGUGAAUUGCAGAAUGCAGUGAAUCAUCGAAUCUUUGAACGCACCGUGCGCUCCUUGGUAUUCCUUGGAGCAUGCCUGUUUGAGUAUCAUGAAAUCUUCAAAGUAAAUCUUUUGUUAACUCAAUUGGUUUCUACUUUGGUAUUGGAGGUCUUUGCAGCUUCACACCUGCUCCUCUUUGUUCAUUAGCUGGAUCUCAGUGUUAUGCUUGGUUCCACUCGGCGUGAUAAGUUAUCUAUCGCUGAGGACACUGUAAAAGGUGGCCAAGGUAAAUGCAGAUGAACCGCUUCUAAUAGUCCAUUGACUUGGACAAUACUUUUAUGAUCUGAUCUCAAAUCAGGUAGGACUACCCGCUGAACUUAAGC
rnacentral:misc_RNA from 1 species